UUGGCAAUGCGGGGUGCUAUACAUGCAAGUCGAGCGAACUGAUUAGAAGCUUGCUUCUAUGACGUUAGCGGCGGACGGGUGAGUAACACGUGGGCAACCUGCCUGUAAGACUGGGAUAACUCCGGGAAACCGGAGCUAAUACCGGAUAACAUUUUCUCUUGCAUAAGAGAAAAUUGAAAGAUGGUUUCGGCUAUCACUUACAGAUGGGCCCGCGGUGCAUUAGCUAGUUGGUGAGGUAACGGCUCACCAAGGCAACGAUGCAUAGCCGACCUGAGAGGGUGAUCGGCCACACUGGGACUGAGACACGGCCCAGACUCCUACGGGAGGCAGCAGUAGGGAAUCUUCCGCAAUGGACGAAAGUCUGACGGAGCAACGCCGCGUGAGUGAUGAAGGCUUUCGGGUCGUAAAACUCUGUUGUUAGGGAAGAACAAGUACAAGAGUAACUGCUUGUACCUUGACGGUACCUAACCAGAAAGCCACGGCUAACUACGUGCCAGCAGCCGCGGUAAU
rnacentral:rRNA from 2 species